rnacentral:rRNA from 1 species
GGUCUUACCACCGGGAUGUUCAUAACCCUUUGUUGUCCGACUCUGUUGCCUCCGGGGCGACCCUGCCUUCGGGCGGGGGCUCCGGGUGGACACUUCAAACUCUUGCGUAACUUUGCAGUCUGAGUAAACUUAAUUAAUAAAUUAAAACUUUUAACAACGGAUCUCUUGGUUCUGGCAUCGAUGAAGAACGCAGCGAAAUGCGAUAAGUAAUGUGAAUUGCAGAAUUCAGUGAAUCAUCGAAUCUUUGAACGCACAUUGCGCCCCCUGGUAUUCCGGGGGGCAUGCCUGUUCGAGCGUCAUUUCACCACUCAAGCCUCGCUUGGUAUUGGGCAACGCGGUCCGCCGCGUGCCUCAAAUCGACCGGCUGGGCCUUCUGUCCCCUAAGCGUUGUGGAAACUAUUCGCUAAAGGGUGUUCGGGAGGCUACGCCGUAAAACAACCCCAUUUCUAAGGUUGACCUCGGAUCAGGUAGGGAUACCCGCUGAACUUAAGCAUAUCAA